GGCCGGCCUACCUUUCGUUCAGAGGCCGCUGAGAAGGAGGGAACUAUGGGAAGGUGGCAAGCUCUGUACUUCCUCAGAGAGUGUUUUCUCUGAAUCAGAAGGAAGAAGGCAGAGACUGAAGAGGGUCAAGUUCUUGAGAGUUAUCAGUGGGCAUACUUUGGCUGCUGUGAUGGAGUGCAUCCCUCUUCAUGAAGAGAAAUAAAAGACACAAUGGACAAGCUUCCUCCUGACUGGUUCUUCAGGUUGAUUAUUAAUAGAUAUUUAUUUAAGGGGGGCCCGCCCCACAGUUUGAGAACCACAGUUUUAAAUGUUCCUCCAGUCCUUGUGGUUUGUGAGG